rnacentral:lncRNA from 1 species
CCGGUGACGAAGAAGAGGGAAGAGGAAGAGGAAGAGGAAGAAGGAAGAAGGAAGAAGGAAGAAGAAGGGAAAAGAGGAAGAGGGAAGAGGAAAAGGAAGAGGGUUCGUCACCGUCGUGGCCGUCGCCGCCGUAUCUCCUCGCCGGCGACGAAGAAGAAAGAAGAGGAAGAGGAGGAAGAGGAAGAAGGGUAAAUACGUCAAUUCACACUAUACUUAAUCAUGGUUAAGUAUUUUAACCGUGGUUAACGAAAAAUUUCUAACAGAUCUGGACGGCAGGGACAUAUCUGCAUAACUUAGGACUUUUGCAGGGACAACUUAUGGAGUUUCCGUUUUGCAGGGAUAUUUCCGCAAUUUACUAUGUUUGUAGGGACGUGUAUGCAAAUAACGCUUAAAAUUUUAACAGUUAUAUAUGUAAUUGUCUGAAAUAUUAUUAUUUAUUUGCGGCGCAGUGCGGCUUCUAAACUAAUUUUAACUACUCACAU